AUCCAUGGGCCUUUAACCAUCCAACACAAAGAUACAUAGAGAUGGGCAGUGAUAGUCAAACCUAGCUCUUCACUGUGGCCUGACUAGAAUAGCAACAGUGCAGACUAAAUGCUAGAAACAAUCGAAUUACCAUCAGUGGGAUAUGUCUGUAUGUAAGAAUUUACAAAACCUGAGAAAGAAUGAGUUGGAUCCAAAGUGAAAUGUGGACUGAUCUUCCAGAUAUAAAGUGUGCCAAACAUAGUGAUCCAUGAUGUGUUUGGAGGCCUACAUUAAAUAGAAAUUCAGCAGAAAAAUGUCCUGCAGGGACUCGUCUCGGCCCUUGGGGAGCUGAAAGGAUGACCUGUUUCAGGAGGACAUCAAAGAUGACAUCUGGCCAAAUCCAUUACAAUACUGGUUGGUUCCCGAUACGGAUGAAGAAGAGGGGGAAGGA